UUUCUUUUUACUUCUUUAUAAAUGUCAGAUAAAAGUCACUGCAAAGUGAUCAGUUGGGUUGCUUGACUCUACAGGUGGUUUCUCUGUCUUUGCUGGUGUUGGUGAGCGUACUCGAGAGGGUAAUGAUUUGUACCGAGAAAUGAUUGAAAGUGGUGUUACCAAGCUUGGCGAGCGGCAAAGUGAAAGCAAGUGUGUCCUUGUAUAUGCUCAAAUGAAUGAUCCCCCUGGUGCUUGUGCACGUGCUGAACUUACAGGUUUGACCGUGGCUGAGCACUUCCGAGAUGCCGAGGGGCAGGAUGUGCUUCUCUUUGUUGACAAUAUUUUCGGGUUUACUCAGGCCCAAGAUCCGUAGACAUGAAGUUAAAGUUGAAGUUAAAGGAGUCACUAGAAGUGAAGUUAAAGUUGACAAGAAAAUGAAUCAAACGGCUAGCAUAUGUUUGAAGCAAAAGACAAAGCAAAUCCCCUUCUAAAGAAGAACCCGAGUUCUCUUACUCUUUUCAUUUUUUUCAUUGUUCUGCAAACAUUUGCGCUCUCCUUCCUUUAAGAUCUGUUGUGUCUUUUUUUUUUGUAGUUAAUCUAUUGCUUAUCAAAGAUUGCUGUCCUCAGUAGUUUAUGUUGCUCGACAUGCGCUGCAUUGCAGUCCUUUUUGAAACGAGAUGUUGGAGCUGCAUAUUGAUCUUUUCAGAUUCUCAGCUACUAGAUUGUGCUAAUUAAGUUAUUGGUUAGCUAUCACACAGAGGCAGACCACAAGUUAAAGGUGAUUUACAAGAAGUAUUCAAGUUCUCAUAGAGGUGCUGUUGCAGUAAAACCUCCAGUCAUUUUGUUGUUGGCUGAAUUGCCUGCUUUUAACUUAAAUUAUUUUUAGCCUUUAGUAUAGUUUGGAAUUACCAUAUAUCUUGUACUUUAAUUUUUUGCAUUCCAUUAUGCAACCAUUGUAGGCGUGAUAUUUUGUUAGUAAAUCAUUGUAAACUUUGAUUAUUAUAGCAAUGAUUUGUAUAUUAUGCAAGUGAAUGUGUAUCAAUUAAAUGUAUUGGAACCAAGAUUUGUGAGAAAUAAUUAUAUAUAUUUUUUUAAAA